rnacentral:rRNA from 1 species
ACGCAAUAGAUACCCAGGUAGUCCACGCCCUAAACGAUGUCUACUAGUUGUCGGGUCUUAAUUGACUUGGUAAACGCAGCUAAACGCGUGAAGUAGACCGCCUGGGGAGUACGGUCGCAAGAUUAAAACUCAAAGGAAUUGACGGGGACCCGCACAAGCGGUGGAUGAUGUGGAUUAAAUUCGAUGCAACGCGAAAAACCUUACCUACCCUUGACAUGGAUGGAAUCCCUGAGAGAUUGGGGAGUGCUCGAAAGAGAACCAUUACACAGGUGCUGCAUGGCUGUCGUCAGCUCGUGUCGUGAGAUGUUGGGUUAAGUCCCGCAACGAGCGCAACCCUUGUCAUUAGUUGCUACGAAAGGGCACUCUAAUGAGACUGCCGGUGACAAACCGGAGGAAGGUGGGGAUGACGUCAAGUCCUCAUGGCCCUUAUGGGUAGGGCUUCACACGUCAUACAAUGGUACAUACAGAGGGCCGCCAACCCGCGAGGGGUAGCUAAUCCCAGAAAGUGUAUCGUAGUCCGGAUUGUAGUCUGCAACUCG